AUGACCCAGCUGAACAUUAACCUCCCAGAUGAGGCGGUCAUUGACAGAAUCCUCCAGUCGCUCCCACCAAGCUACAAGAGCUUUGUGAUGAACUACAACAUGCAGGGAAUGGAAAAGACCAUUCCUGAAGUGUUCUCGAUGCUGAAGUCAGCAGAGGCUGAAAUCAAGAAAGAACAUCAAGUGUUGAUGGUCAAUAAGACCACUAAGUUCAAGAAGGGCAAGGGUAAGAAGAACUUCAAGAAGGACGGCAAAGAUGUUGCCGCGCCUGGUAAGCCAGUUACCGGGAAGAAGUCGAAGAAUGGACCCAAGCCUGAGACUGAGUGCUUUUAUUGCAAGGGGAAGGGUCACUGGAAGCGGAACUGCCCCAAAUACUUAGCGGAUAAGAAGGCCGGCAACACCAAAGGAGCUGCGGAAUAA
rnacentral:rRNA from 1 species